UACGUAGGGGGCAAGCGUUGUCCGGAUUUAUUGGGCGUAAAGAGCGUGUAGGCGGCCUGAAAGGUCAGCUGUGAAAACUCGAGGCUCAACCUCGAGACGUCGGUUGAAACCAUCUGGCUAGAGUCCGGAAGAGGAGAGUGGAAUUCCCGGUGUAGCGGUGAAAUGCGCAGAUAUCGGGAAGAACACCCGUGGCGAAGGCGGCUCUCUGGGACGGUACUGACGCUGAGACGCGGAAAGCGUGGGGGGAGCGAACAGG
rnacentral:rRNA from 1 species